CCAUGGCCUCAACCUGUAAGGCGAGGCCAUGGUGAGUAAUAGGACUCGGCGACCACCGUCCUCCCAAUCUCGACAUAGGAGGUGCGCCGCCACAGCCAAGAGACAGAGGAUCCGACGACGACAAUGACGAUGUCAAGAGGAAGAGGGUGAUGCUGCUUCUCUAUGCGGCAGCGAACCGAGGACGCAAGAAUGCUGCUAGGUGCUCACAGGUCAGGCCUGACUGCAGCUGCCUUUUCUCCUCUCAAUGCAUGGUGUCAUGGUGAUUUCCACUGUUGGUGAAUGGUGAGCUCAUGCGUAACAUCUCCCUGCACCGCUUUCUUGAACAAAACACUCUAUUCCUCUACCCAUUCAUGCCAUGGUUGGUACAUCCGGAAUUACUAUUGUGACUGUUAACCAUAUUUGCAUUGUUUUUCUAUCAAUUAGGCCCCAUGAUGCUUGCUAAUCACCUAGCAUGCACCAGGCCUCUUUGCAGUAUAUUGAAGCAUUUGAGCAGGUUCGUGUAUUUGUGGUAGUGCGGAGCCUUCCAGCGGCGUGGGAGUAGCCACCGGCAGAUAUCGAGGGUGUUACCCUGACAAGCGUGCUCGUGGUGGUCGCUCAGAUCUCACCCCAUAUGGUUUGCUUACAUACCUCUGUGCCUUCACUGACACUAAAGUAAAUAGAGGGAAUUUUCCUCUCACCAAACGUUCCAGAUUUUCGGAGACAACUUGCAUUUGAAUUCAAAGGCACAUAGAGGUUGGACAAUUUCAUUGGGAAAGUAGGUUUGAAGGUUUUGUUGUUGAAAGCAAAUUCUUCUAAUAGGUGGAUCCUUAUUUCUGCCAUGGGAGCUGUAUUUUCAAACCUUCAAAAAUUACUUCUGGUGUUGCACUGGCUUUGCUGAGAAAGCAUUUUAGCUUAGUACUUGCAAGAGAUACAAACAAUCAGGCCUGUAAGCAUGACUAUUCACACCUCGAAGUUAUGAUCUAUGAACAAUAUUGUAUGUUCUGAAUGG